rnacentral:rRNA from 1 species
GACGAACGCUGGCGGCGUGCUUAACACAUGCAAGUCGAACGGAAAGGCCCUGCUUUUGUGGGGUGCUCGAGUGGCGAACGGGUGAGUAACACGUGAGUAACCUGCCCUUGACUUUGGGAUAACUUCAGGAAACUGGGGCUAAUACCGGAUAGGAGCUCCUGCUGCAUGGUGGGGGUUGGAAAGUUUCGGCGGUUGGGGAUGGACUCGCGGCUUAUGAGCUUGUUGGUGGGGUAGUGGCUUACCAAGGCUUUGACGGGUAGCCGGCCGGAGAGGGUGACCGGCGACACUGGAAGUUAGACACGGUCAAGACGACUACGGGAGGCAGCAGUCGGGAAUAUGAGACAAUGGGCGCAAGUCUGAUCCAGUGAGACCGAGUGGGAGAAGAAGGCGUUCGGGGUGUAAAGCCGUUCUGUGGGGAAAGAAAAGCAGCAGCUUGAGACCACGCUGUUCUGACGGUACCGAAUGAAUAAGCACCGGCUAACUUCGUG